rnacentral:lncRNA from 1 species
GGGCAGGUCUGCCUGCAGACAGCUUCGUUACUAGGCUGCAUUAAGCUACGGCGGCAGUACAUCUGAGCUCACGUCUGUGACCCCGCACUUCCGCGACUGCCCGAAUGCCUCCACAGGCCCCGGCACCGGCUAUGAGCUGAAGAUUUACAACCUCAAGGGCAACAACGGCACCUUCCCUGGAUCCAAGAUCUGCAUCACCACCAAAGCGCCGUGCUCGUCUCUCAAGGACCUGUGCUCGUCCAGCCCGUCGGGCGAUUGCACGUGAGUGUCGGACAUGACCGGGGCCGCGUGUGUGUUUAAGCGCGAAAGGAAACAGCACGUGUGUUUGACCAUUGGGGUUAACACGCUCGUCUACCCUCUCGGCUCUGGGGCCGAUGUACGUACCGUGCGCUGAAACCCCAUCCCUUCCUACCCGUUGCUCACAGGUACUCGUUUGCGGACACGUCCUCCACUACCUACUGCCCCAUCUGCCCCCUGAACGUCUACCCGCCGCCCCCGCCUCCCUCUCCGCAGCCGCCCUCACCGGGACCCCCUCUGCCGCCUUCGCCAGCACCCCCAUCACCAUCGCCUCCCCUAGCACCCCAACCACCGCCUACUCCUCCUCCCCCUCCACCCCCACCGCCGCCGCCCAGCCCCCCUGUUCCUCCGCCCCCACCUCCUCCCCCGCUUUCUCCUCCUCCCCCGCCUCCGCCGCCGCCGCCUCCACCUCCGCCGCCACCGCCCUUCCCACCCCCUCCUCCGCCUCCCCCUCCCCCUCCCCCGCCUCCUCCCCCCGCCCCUCCUCCGUUGCCGCCGCCCCCUCCGCCGCCGCCUCCUCCGCCCCCGCCCCCGCUCCCUCCUCCGCCCGAGUGCCCUGAAGUCUGCGCAACGGUGAGCCUGGGGUGUGCGUCCGACGCUUCCCCCGUCACACGUGGCGUGUGGCUCAGUCAGGCAAGCGGCAGCAGAAGCAAUACCGGAUGCAGGCAUGUGCUCUUUGUGGUGCUGCGCCGCUGCCACGACGCAGCAAGAGUCCUGCGUAAGGAGCAUACAUCUGCAAGGGUGCAGUGCGAAUGCUGUGCGCCCAUGCUUGGCCAGGGGCAUUGUGAAGAGACGUGCGUGCCAGCAUUACUUCACUCGCGGCAUCCGAGUUGCUCCUGGCGUUAAUGCACCACACCUACAAACACACACACACACACACGCGCGCGCGCGCGCACGCGUGCGCGCCCACACACAUACCACACACCUGCCGCUUGUGUUGCGUCCCACCGUUUUCUGACAGGUGCAGAUCAUCCCGCCUGACUCCCUCUUUAGCAACGAGGUCCCGGCCAACAUUUUCACAUUCGACGGAGCGUACUGGCGUACUGGCGUAGCAGGCAAUCGGCUGCAGCGGCAGGGGUGUUGAGAGGUUUUCCUUGCUGUCUGGUUGGCCUGCUGCCUGCUGCACUAGUGCUUGAUAGCUGGGCGCGACUGGGCACAUAUGGCGGGCGGUGCCUGUACAAACCGACCCCGGCUAUGUCCGGGAGAUGAGGCUAGUAUCGGAACCUUCGGCCUCAGACGGAGGACGUGGCGUGGCGGCACAGCCCACUUUUCCCUUGCAAGGGAGAGCCACCUUCUCUUGUCACAUUCGACGGACCCGACGGCGUGGACUGCGCCAGCUACGGCGAUUUCAUGGCGGCCACAUUUAACGAUAGGGUGCGCCGUGCGGGCUGGUGCGGGAUUGGUCGUGUUGUGAGACUGUGGAGCCAGGCCUGUGGGUGGCUGUGGGUGCUGGGGGGGUAGGGGCCAUACAUGCAGCCAUACAUGUGUGUGGUCCGUUUGGGGCGUUUGUUGUGGAUACAUGUGGCUGUGUGUGUGUGUGACGCCCGUGGCGCAACGUGGGGUUGGAUGCCGCCGCCGCUGUCACUUGCGCAUACAUGGUCGCCACACUUUCCCUGCCCCGUGUCCACACCUGCAACUCCUCGCCGCCUUGCUGCUCGGCCCCCUGACACACCCCACCACCUUCAGGCGUGGGAGGUGGGCGCAGACCUGUCCGCCGCAUUCGUCGUAACCUCCUGCAGCGGCCUCUGGAACCUCACGACGGGUAGGUGCGGACCGAGGAGCGGCUUGCACCCGCUUGGCAGCUACGCUAACUCCACAGCAACAUGUGGAUAAGGACAGAUUCCUUCUCCUACUACGUUUGUCAAGCGCCCCCAAACACUUGACGCCAACCCUGCCCCGCCCCGCCUGCUCGCCCAUCGCAACAGGCAUCCGCCCCAACAUCACCGCCUGCGGCACCUUCGCCUCCAACGCCACCGCGCAGCUGUUCCAGCCCGAGGUGGGCGACGUGCUGGAACAGCUCGUCAACUUCAUAACCGGAGGUGCCUGCCCCGCCAACCUGGAGGGAUACACCAUCUCAGCCCAGAUCGGCGGCAUUGCUCCCUCCGGCGCCUUCGGCGGUGCCGAGCCCAGCUGCGUGGUAGGCCAGACCUCCCAGUCCUGCAAGGCCGACGCACCCGACGCGCCUCCGCCUCCUCCUCCUCCGCCUCCUCCUCCUCCGCCGCCGCCCCCGCCCAGCCCUCCUCCCCCGCCCCCGCCCAGCCCUCCGCCUCCUAGCCCUGCCCCUCCCACCCCGUUUCCCAAGCCCAGUCCCAGCCCCUCUCUGGUGAAGACGCACAUCUGCGUCCAGUCGACGAACAACAUUCCGUUUGCGAUCUCCGACCUGGUGCUUUCCCCCACCGUGGACCAGCUGGGCUUCCCCGCCGUGUCCAUGUGUGUGUCGGCCUCAAGCGCCACGUGCAGGAGGGGAGCCUUCUGCUGCGGGAUGGACUUUGCAAAGGUGAGGGCAGUGGCGAGGGCCACGUUUUUGGGCAUUGGCCAUUGGCGGGGCUUGGGGCAGAAUCCCCUCCGGCACGACGGCCUUGCGUGCCAAGUAAGCCGGGGUAGCGGUCUUGCCCGCACGAGGCAUUGCCUGCACGUUCGUAAUCGGCCCCUGAAAUUUAAUCGUGCUUCCAACUCUCGCUCGUGCCUGUACAGAUGGAGCUGCCCAUCACGACUGAUUGCAAGCCUGAGCUCCGCCGCAUCGUCAUCAACAACGAAGCCAGCAGCGCAUACAGCUGGGGAUUUUACGACUCCUUCACCACAUUGAAGUUCCCCUCGCUGACCAAGUAAGGAGUGGGACGGGUCCACAGGACGUGUUUGUCUUGCGGAAGGCGUAUGGCAGUCGCCAUGCAGCCACCAGGCAUGAUUGCCGUGGUCCCACGAGCACCCCCACCAACCUUGCACCAACGUGCACCCUGCCCGCCGCGCCUUGUUGGCCCCUGCAUCAUACACUCCACCCUGCCCUGUGCCCUGCUGCCCACGCAGGUCGCUGCCCGGCGGUCCCUACGGCGCCACGCUGUGCUGGGUGGUGCGGCCGGGCGCCUGCGCCGACCCCGCCAACUUCUGCCUCAACGGCCGCUGCCAGGUCAACAUCUUCUCUUCCGACAACAAGUGCUGCCCUGCGACGAUAGUAAACUAAGAAUGCUUGAGGCUCGAGAGGAAAGCAACCCAGGAGAUAUUACUGCGUAGAUAGAUGAGUAGACUACUGUCGAGACGAUGUCGUGGAUUGUAUUGCCCAGGGAAGGUAUUGCCGUUCCAAGUGCGCAUGGGUGGGGUGCCAUGGGCUUGUUCUCACCGCGCCGUGCCGGCACUGCAGGUUUCAUCGCAGGAUAGCGAGACAGUGUCAGUUGCGUUAAAGUGUGGAGACUGAGUAGAAGCAGGGUUUUAGUGUCUUCGCAAGCCCUUCUCGAGUAGGGACAGAAAUGAGCAGGCGGUCGUGCUUGUGCGGGUGUGUGUGCGGGUGUGCGCGCCUGCCGGCUUUCACGAUGCGUGAAUGCCUUGGUGCGUGUCCGAAUGCGUGUGUGUAUGUGUGCUCGUGUGUAUCCAGCCAUCGCUGGGGAAACUCGUCGUCAGGACAUCUGUCUGAGAUAUUGCGCGUGCGUGCGUGCACUUCGAACAGUCUAUGGUGCGCAGGCUGUCUUUCGUCAUAAGCUGUGGGCUCAGGCGACGCGUGUGCAUGCGUGCGGGUGUCGGCCACUCCAACCGCAACCUUGCCUUCUGCCACAUACGGUGCAGACGCAUGUGACGCAUGCAUAUGCCAGCCUUUCAAUAUGUGGUCCUCCUUCCUUCACGCAAACAUCUUCUUUCUGAUUCGAAACUGUGGACCGUUGGUCCCAAGCGGGGUUUGCAAGUUGGCUGUGCCCCGAAUGGGGUUGCUAUAAGAUUGCUGGACGGAGGGACAUCCCUGAGCUUGCGUCAUGACUGCCUCGGGAUGCAAGGCGUAAAUCAAUAGGCUUGGACCGCGUGACGCCUGACACCUUGCCACAGUUGGUGACUAGGACUGAUGAAGCUGGUAGGUCCUUGACUGACAUGCAUGGCAAAAUGGUCAAAGAUGCAGCACGGCAGGGCUGGGCGCUGCGCUGGCGUGUUUGCAAUUGACACGAGGUGCGUGCGGGAGCGCUUGCUACAUGGGCCGCCCCGUCAUUCUAUUUUUGCUUCAAUUGGGCUGAGCCCCCCCAGCGCAGCGUUCCAGGGGGGGGGCGAAGCCCCCCAGGAACACCCCUGUCCGUGGCUCGUGCGUCGGCAAAAAGUAUCAUACUGGAUCGCUUUGGCUGUUUUACUUGUUUGGUUGUGCCUCGUAGAAUCUAGGCAGAUCUCUAGAGCACGCGCGUGUCACGCUAGCCAGCUGACUUCACGCCCCUGGUCCGAUCCAGUAGUCCUGAACCUGAGCAAGCAAGCAGUGCGCUCCUGACUGCCCCUGCCCUCGCAUGUUGUGAUGUACAUUGAAGGGGGGACUGGUAUGUUGUGGUGUUUGAACUAUAGAAGGGGGACUGGCAUGUUGCGGUGUACAUAGAAGGGGGGAUUGGAUCGUGCGUGGCACCUGAUGUCAGGUGAGGUCGUACAGACGUGCCUUGUGUGUGUGUGUGUGUGUGUGUGUGUGUGUGUGUGCGGCCCUGCGUCCGUCCAUGUGCGCGUCUCGGGCCGGGCGCCGGCGCGGUUGCAGUGGCGCGCAACAGGCGCCUUGUACGGACGCUGCGACCGGCGGUCCGACUCAACAGCCAUACAUAUAUAGGAGUACAUGCGGGUAACGUGUAAUUGUGUGGACAUUAAAGCAGCCAUCCACCAGCACUGGACUGCUGCCAUGUGCCCAACUCCCUGAAGGCCACAGCAGCAGGACUUGGGCCGGCGACAAGACAACAUAGCCCACCAGGACGACCCCACCCGAGGCGUGCGGCGAGAGCGAGCACCCAGUUAACAAGCAACUGCGCCCGUCUUCCUGUGACCCGCCGGGCCCAAGGGCCCGCCGCCGGCACACGGUAGGUCGCCGACUCACCGCAGCCUACGGGCUGCCUACGGUAUCAGCCCUUGUCCCUUGAAUGAAAGAGGCGAAGGACCACCGGUGGCCCCUUGGAAAGGGCUGGCAAGGGCAGGCAAGAGCACCUAGAAGGAAAGUGGCCAAGGUCCAGGUGUUGCCGUGUUGGUUGGUCACGCCACAACAGCGCUCUCGCAUUCCAGCCUGCGGUUGUGUGGCACCCAAUGCAUAAAUGCGUUCUUGCACUUAGCUAGUCUGUUACCCUAACACCGCUCGGCGGCGGCACGGAUGCAGUGGCGGGCGCGGCGGCGCUGGGUUUGGGGCCGCGGCCGCGGUGGGCACCGCGGCCCCGCCCGCGGCCGGCGCCCGUGCUGGGGAGGGUGCCGGGGGGGGGGGGGGCGCUGCCGCUGGGCGCGGCAGGACCGGCGCAGCCCGCCGGCGGGCGGCGGGGCCACGGGCGGGGCCUGGGCAUGAGGGUGGCGAGCGGGCUCUUUAGGAAUAGUAGUCUUUGCGUUAAAGCAGAGGAUAAGGAAGUAUUAACGGCGAAUAGCCGUGCAGCGCAGAGCGCUGCCCUUCAACACUUCGACUAUGACAGUUGCCGUACUUUAUUGUUUCAUCGGAGACCCUGUUCUUCAGGGCGAGAAACGCUAUUUUAUCUUCUGGCAGUAUUCGAUCGAUAGUCCGAGGUCUGUUAUGGGUGUGACGACUGACGAGCUGGACAGGCCUACUUGUUUAAAUGUCUCGAUCUGAAUCCCGUUAGGGAUCCGAGGCAUCCAAGGCCGCUGCUACUUAAAUGCCACGCUAAUGACGUCGUCGUGUAUAACCACAAGGCCAUACCCAGGCCGCGUAGUUAUGCAAUUGUAGCAGCGGUGCAACAUUUGCGCCAGCGCACACAGAGCGACCGUCCGCAAGACGUUUGAACUCUACUCGACCACAUUGAGUCCAAUUCGAGGGAGUUGACGCGUCGGGACAUUCUAGUCGCAUAGGUGAGUCGGGCGACGCAGAGCGACUGGCGCGUGCGUUCGCGCGUUGUCGUCGCCGUUGGCCACCGACGAAGCUCUCUACCUCCAGAGUCCCUGCGCGCAAUGGAAUUGACUGAAUUAUCACGCCACUUUGUCAAAACAAGCUCUGCUCUGAGUCCAAACGUCGUCGGGACACAAACCGCUUUUUAAACCUCCAAUCCACUCAUGAGACGCCACUGCCUAUGCAGGGCGCCUUCCAAUGGUGGCUGGCAACAUGGUCGGUGCGGCCAUCAUUGCCGUCGUCAUUAUGGCGUCGGGUAAGUGGGCUUGGCCAGGUGACUCGCCCAGCGUCGCUUGGCCUUCCUUUCGGCCCCCUAGCUGCUGCAGGGAAUCUGCCGCCCUUCUCAGCGCGCGCGCGCGCGCGCCUUGCUCCCAACUGCUCUUACUAACCACCAAAAACCCUUGCAGGCCUCGGCGCCUCGGCAGCCUCAGACUUUUCUGUCAGCAGCCACAGCGGUCGCGGCCUGCUGACCACUGCGUCUGGCUUCCCCUGGUGCCAGUGCAUUGACUACUCAUGCGCUUGCUCACCCUACAAGGUCAACUUUGAGUCUUCAACACAGGUGCGCGUGUCCACAGGCAUUACAGUGCUACUAUAAGCCCGGAUAUGGCUCCUUUGGGACUCCGGCACACACAGGACACACGCAGAACGACGCUUGGGCGGGUCUUCUUCCAUUCUGUUUCUACCCACACAAUGCUUACCGCGCUGUACAUUUUCCCAUGCCCCGCCCCUGCAGUCGGGCUCCCUGACCACCACGUGCUUUUCCGUGGCCUACAUUGGCUGCGACACCAGCCGGGCGUGCUGCCGCGGCAUGCUGGCGGCGGUGGACAAGCUCACCUUUGAGACCACCGCGGCGUGCGGCGUCAAGUCCAACAUCGCCAAUAUCACCAUCAACGGCAAGAGGUGGCCGUCCUGGAACCCCUACCCCCAUCCCUCGGGUGAGAGCAAAGGUGGAGUGGACAAGAUGGUCACGGAGGGGGCUCGUGUAGGCCUGGGCAGGUCUGGCUGCAGACAGCUUCGUCCCUGGGCUGCGUUAAGCUGCGGCGGCAGUACACCUGAGCUCACAUCUGUGACCCUGUACUUCCGCCCGAAUGCCUCCACAGGCCCCGGCACCGGCUAUGAGCUGAAGAUUUACAACCUCAAGGGCAACAACGGCACCUUCCCUGGAUCCAAGAUCUGCAUCACCACCAAAGCGCCGUGCUCGUCUCUCAAGGACCUGUGCUCGUCCAGCCCGUCGGGCGAUUGCACGUGAGUGUCGGACAUGACCGGGGCCGCGUGUGUGUUUAAGCGCGAAAGGGAAACAGCACGUGUGUUUGACCAUUGGGGUUAACACGCUCGUCUACCCUCUCGGCUCUGGGGCCGAUGUACGUACC